rnacentral:rRNA from 1 species
GCCGGUGACCAUACGCUUGGGGUCACACCCGUUCCCAUUCCGAACACGGUAGUUAAGCCCAAGCGGCCGAUGGUAGUCCCUCAGGGCGAGAGUAGGUGAUUGCCGGCU